rnacentral:rRNA from 1 species
GUAGGGAGCAAGCGUUGUUCGGAAUUAUGGGCGUAAAGAGCGCGUAGGCGGCCAGGUAAGUCUGGUGUGAAAUCCCACAGCUCAACUGUGGAACUGCAUUGGAAACUGCUUGGCUAGAGUGCGGGAGAGGAGAGUGGAAUUCCCAGUGUAGAGGUGAAAUUCGUAGAUAUUGGGAGGAACGCCAGUGGCGAAGGCGGCUCUCUGGACCGCAACUGACGCUGAGGCGCGAAAGCUAGGGGAGCGAACGGGAUUAGAUACCCCGGUAGUCCUAGCCGUAAACGAUGGGCACUAGGUGUAGGAGGUAUCGACCCCUUCUGUGCCGUAGCUAACGCAUUAAGUGCCCCGCCUGGGGAGUACGGUCGCAAGACUA